GUGAGCAUUUCUCAGGUUUAAACUGUGACAGAAGAAGGUUACUGACCUUGGUUUGUUGUGCAGCUCAGCAGUGAGAUCAGAACUAAAGAGAAAUGACACUCAGGUUGAUUUGAGGUGAACAUAAAGAACAACUCCACACAAACAGCUUUAACAUCUGCGCCUCUAUCAGGUGCUUAAACACCGCAUCCAACAAUUUCUGGACUAAUUCUGUUGGUAUAAUAGUAUGCACACACUUUCAACCCUUUGUGCUCCUCAUAAAAAUUGGUUCAUGGGUAUAGAAGAGUAUGUUGUAUGUAAAACAUGAGACUAUACAAUGUCCACACAGCAACUCUAGCCACAAAAGUCAGAUGAAAGUCCUUCUUGAUAUGAAAUGACAGUGUAGAAAAUUUACAAAAUAUCCUCUACUUUUAAAUAACACAGUAAAGUCAUGUGUCCACUGUGCAGCUGUGUU